UCCCCUCUAUUGCAGUUUCAUAUGCAAAGCAUGCAUCAGCCACAUCCAUGCUAUCUCUUAAAGCAGUCAUUCUGAAACCCAAUCUGGGGAUAGUGCAGACUAAAUAAAAUUUCAUUUUGAUUUGGCCUCCUGCUGAGAAUGGGACUGCUUUGUUUCAGCCGACAGAACCAGCAAGCCAGAAAGGUCUUGUUUCAAAAAUACAGAAGCUGUUUCUGACCUAAUUGAUCAAAAAUGCUUUUCUUCUGGAAACAGUGCAAAAUGUCUUCUUUUCAAGGCAAAUGACUGUGGGGACUGGUGAGAGAGACAAAGAAAGGGUCAUUGUGGUGAAGGAAAUAUUUUUAUCUAGGCUUCAGGAAACGGUGGUCUGGCUAGUGACUGCAGUGCUGUGGACAGUUACACGCACAGUAUUCACCCAGGGCAAAGCAUGCCAUCACUUAUGUCUGCCCCUAAACUCCUGGACUACAAGAACUAAUGUCAAUAUCCACCUGG
rnacentral:lncRNA from 1 species